CCUACGGGGGGCAGCAGUGGGGAAUAUUGCACAAUGGGGGAAACCCUGAUGCAGCCAUGCCGCGUGUGUGAAGAAGGCCUUCGGGUUGUAAAGCACUUUCAGCGAGGAGGAAAGGUUGGCAGCUAAUACCUGUCAGCUGUGACGUUACUCGCAGAAGAAGCACCGGCUAACUCCGUGCCAGCAGCCGCGGUAAUACGGAGGGUGCAAGCGUUAAUCGGAAUUACUGGGCGUAAAGCGCACGCAGGCGGUUGGAUAAGUCAGAUGUGAAAGCCCCGGGCUCAACCUGGGAACUGCAUUUGAAACUGUUCGACUAGAGUCUUGUAGAGGGGGGUAGAAUUCCAGGUGUAGCGGUGAAAUGCGUAGAGAUCUGGAGGAAUACCGGUGGCGAAGGCGGCCCCCUGGACAAAGACUGACGCUCAGGUGCGAAAGCGUGGGGAGCAAACAGGAUUAGAUACCCGAGUAGUC
rnacentral:rRNA from 1 species